AUCUCUCUCUCUCUCUCCCUCUCUGUCUCCCCCUCAAUCUCGCUUUCUCUCUUUCUCUCAAUCUCGUGCUCUCUCUCCUUUGAUCUUCUCAAAUUAGCACCUCUACUACACAUGUAUAUGUACCUCUAUAUAUUAUGUAUGUGUUGUGAAUAUCAAUGUUUGAAAUUGAAUUUAUUCUGUUGAGGUCCGAGCAAGAAUCGAAGUAGACGUCCUCAACUUCCUCAAGAUCUUGAACUCUUCGACUCCGACAAUCUCAUAUUUCUUUGGUUUGCAAUUUUGCUUCAAAUCUCUACUCUCGAAAUGUGUAUAUAUAUAUAUAUAUGUGCGUGUGUGUUUUUGUGUUAAGCAUUGAGUCACUGUUGAUUUUAAUUUGACAAAUUUGGGGAUUUUUGAGUGUGUUAUAGAUCAAUAGAAGAUGGAAUAAUAGCUGAGGGUUUGUUGACUGAUGUUUCGUGGAUUUUUCUUUCUCACUCGUUUUGCACGAGGUCUUUGAUGAGAGUUAACUAACACUGCUGAAUCUUUCAUUAGAGAUACGAUAAGAAAAAAAUGAGUACAUUGGACGUAGCUAGAGCAAAGCUUGGCCUUGCGGUUCUGUAUUUGAACAAAGCCGAAGCCAGGGACAAGCUAUGCAGGGCAAUACAAUAUGGUUCAAAAUACUUGAGUAACCGGGAGCCUGGCACAGCCCAAAAUGUUGACAAAUCAACUAGCUUGGCACGGAAAGUGUUCCGUCUUUUCAAGUUUGUUAAUGAUCUGCACGCGCUCAUUAGUCCAACUUCUCCUGUAGCACCCCUUCCCCUUGUU